ensembl:lncRNA
GGGAAAGAUGAGCUUAAAGGACCUCUCUGGGUAACUCACCUUUAACGGCUUAAAGUUUGCUCUCCCUGAAGGGAGACAGGUAAGACACCUGGAGACCAAAAAUAAAGAGGUUUGCAGCCCCAAAGGGCAGAAAUGCACACAGAUUUUGACAUGGACCCCUGGCAGGCUAGAACCUUGGAGAAUGGCUGUCUGAGCGUGGGGUGUGUGGUGACCAGCGAGAGAGCUGGACAGCUCCUGGAGGCCCUGGCACCUGCGGGGGAACUGGACCUGCAGAGCUGCCCAUCCAACGUCAAGGUCAAUGUGGCACGCCUGCGCCAGGGAGAGAGCAAGCUCCAGAUCGCCUGCAGAGCUGUCCAUCCAACGUCAAGGUCAAUAUGGCACGCCUGCGCCAGGGAGAAAGCAAGCUCCAGAUCACCUGCAGAGCUGUCCAUCCAACGUCAAGGUCAAUAUGGCAUGCCUGCGCCAGGGAGAAAGCAAGCUCCAGAUCGCCUGCUUGCUGUGGGGGUUAGGGGACCUCUCCCCGCUGGGGUUGCUUCUGCCUGGGAGCUCAGGGGAACGCUCUGGAGAGGAAAGCUCCAUCAGCCAAGUACCAUGUUCCUUGUUCAUCAGCCCAAAGAAGGUAACGCAUUGAUGGCCUGAUUGUGUUUCUACCACGACUUGCAACCCAAGAUGCAGCCCAGCCUCUGAAAAGCCCAUUGUUCCGUGCAGCGAUGUUAUAACUCUCUGUAAACGGGGCAGUCCAGGGCACUCAGCGCUGCCCGCUCCACCCCAUUGGUGACCUGCAGGGACAGCUGAAUGCCUUCUGGUCCGCUGAGCCCAGAGGAGUGGGGCUGGGCUUUCAGAAACAGCAGGGCUGAUUCAUCGAGAACAAAAGCCAGCUCUUCCUGCUAAAUCCCUGGCCAUCAAGGGCGGCGAGGCCAGCAGGCCCCUGAGCCCCUCCGCAGAAACUCCUUCUUCAUCCGGCUACCGCUGUGGGGCUCCACAGCAGGAGAGCCAGCUUCCCACUGCCCCGUCCCUUCAGCCUGGCCUGCUCUCAGAACCCCCCGGGAAGCAGUGGCUUGGGAGUGAAAUCUGGAUUCUCGUCCUGGUCCUGCCAUUUCCCAGCGGUGCAAUGAAAAUAAGAAACUUCACUUCUCUGAGCCUCAGUUUCUCCAUCUGUGAACUGGGAGUGAAAAUAGUUCCAGCCGGAGGAACUGGUGUCAGAUUUGAAGGAGAUAAUGCCCAGAACAGGAACCUACGACUCUUUGUCCUCUUGCUAUCUGGCGUCAUCUUUCAUAACUCAGUCUGGUACCUUGCAUUCCAGACACGUGGGCACGAGCUCACCCAUCUUAGCUCCUCCACGUCAUUACCUGUAGGCUUCCCAGAACGAUACCAGCUUCUGUUUACAGAGGCCCUGCUAUGCCCCAGGCCUUGCAG